rnacentral:rRNA from 1 species
UACGUAGGGUGCGAGCGUUAAUCGGAAUUACUGGGCGUAAAGCGUGCGCAGGCGGUUUUGUAAGCCAGAUGUGAAAUCCCCGGGCUUAACCUGGGAAUGGCAUUUGGGACUGCAAGGCUGGAGUUUGGCAGAGGAGACUGGAAUUCCUGGUGUAGCAGUGAAAUGCGUAGAUAUCAGGAGGAAUACCGAUGGCGAAGGCGGUUCUCUGGGGCCUUACCUGACGCUGAGGAGCGAAAAGCGUGGGGGAGCGAACAGG